rnacentral:lncRNA from 1 species
ACCAACUGGCCAGAGUUCACAUGCGCCAUCACAGCUAAAAGCACUCCCAGACAAGAAGCCUGGAACAAAGGGUGCUCUCAUGAAUCAGCAGCUGUAAGACUGCGUAGUAGCACAUCUGAGAACAUAUGGGAAAGGCUUUGCCAUGGCUAAGCGCAUCUUGUCACAACACAAAAAUGACAGCUUCAGUCUCACCAGUAUUUUAUAUUUCAGGUGAGAGCUGCUUGUCUUUCCAUGAAGUUCUGCAUAAUAAACCAGUGUGAGCAGAUGCUGCGAGAUGCCACCCAAGGCCCACCCCUCUGCCUUAAGCUUAUGCAAGCCUGGCACUGCCCCCACUGGCGUGCCUAGAGGGCAGCAAUGCCUAGGACAGUCGUGGGACACAGUGCACCCUGUGAAAGUAAAGAGAUGACACAUCAAUCACGCAGGCUUCUGGUUCUUAUUUCCAUUGGGAGAUCCAAGUCAGGCCUUCAGCGGACUCAAGAGAUGGAACUGCAAAACAGAAGCAGAAACAGAGCCAAAAAGAACAUAAAGCUAACUUCUACCACUCACAAUCAGCAUGUGGACAGCUUAUCAAACUCUGGGCCUGAGGUGGACCCCCUGGUAGAUGCAUUCGAUCCAUUUCCACAGAACAGAACCACAAAACUGAUGGCCUCCAAGAGAGAGGACACCUGGACCCAAACACGACCUGCUUCACAGCAUGCCAAGGUUCUUCUAGUUUGCUGCUAUGCAACUCCAGGAGUCAGUAAUUGAGACUUUGGAAAGGCUACUCUUGGUAGGUCUGAGACCAGUGAUAGCAUGCCAAUGUAGCAGUCAGCAAAAAGUGGUCAAGACGGGCUAUGCACAAGUUAACCCCGAUAACCAAAUGCCAUGGAAGAACAGAAGUGAAGGGCUUGACUAAGUGAACAAGGCACACACACUGUGUGCAAGACUGGCACAGACAGCACAGAUUGUGUCCGAAUGGAAGUGACCAGAACCAACACCACACCUUGGAGUGAGCACUGAAUUCCACGCUGUAGAAAACCACACCCCAGUCCACUGCAGGGGGAGUGCUCCACAGGACUCGGAAGGCUGAAGCGUUUCCUUCAGUCCUAAAGGAAGACUCUGGAACAGAAUCUGGUAUAACAUUAGGGGUAGAGGAAAAGUUCCCUGUGGGAUGAAAGAAAGAAAGAGAGGGAAAAGGAAUUUAGGGCCAUUGAUUAGCACAGAAUCAUGGGAGAGCAACAGAAAUUACUAGUAAUUAGAAAUAAAAGCUUUCCUCCCCUUUAAAAAUCACUUCUGGCUUUUCAGGCUGUAAAUUUGAGCUAAGAUUAAGCUGGCUGCAAAAAAAGCCAAUAAAACUACUACUAACACCAGGGCCAGGGCUUUCGCUUAGUGGUUUCCCUCACACACACCCCACCCCCACCGCCUCACAUGCAUAAGGUUCCGAGUUUGAUCCCCGUACAGGAAAAAAAACCUACUAAUACCUUUUCCCUCUUACAACAUCAUUCUGAAGAAAGAAAAUGCCAAUCUAAUGUGUAUUUAACAGAAGGUGUGGGAGAGAGGAAGUGAGCAAGAAUAAAGCACUGUACUUGGCAGAGGCUUGAGGGACGACUGAAUGAUUGUGAACUGAUUAAAUUUGGCCGAUUCCGACACAGACACACUGGUUCUCUGCCCGAUUUCCUGAGUCGUGAUCAUCCUGAAGCCAUUGAUCCAGAACAGCCUGCCACUGUAGUACAUCAGAGCAUUCUGGGAAAUUUCAGAAGUACUCCAGGCUGCAAACUCUGUGAUGCUGAUGUGCUCGGUGCUGCAGAAACACAACCCCAGUGAGUGCAUGCACCUGUCACCAGUACCUAUGAGAAGGACUGCAAGGCAUUCUGUGGAAAUGGGAGUGAGAAUAAAAAGAAAAA